rnacentral:lncRNA from 1 species
UUGAUUAGGUGAAAGAUCACUCUAAGAGUAACAAAGAUCAACACAUUGGAUCAUUCGCUCUUCCUCUCCAAUACAUUCAAGAAGGAUACAGGAAAGCCCCCUUGUAUGACUAUUCUGGAAGAGAAUUAAAGCCUGCUGCUUUGUUCCUUAAAAUUAAAAAAAUCUGGGAGAACUAACUUUAUGUUCGCUGUUUAUAACAAUUUUCUAAAAGUAUACAAACUUGACAGGACUGUGUUCACCGUGCCUAACAAACUGUGAAAUCCAUGCCUAGUGUUUCGGUUUAUUGCACAAAGCCACUUUAACUAACUUAUAAACAUCUUAAAAGAAUUGUAGAUGUAACUUCAUUUAACCCUCCAUAUUUAGAGGUGCACUUCCGAUUUAAAAUAGAGUACAUUAUUAAAAGAUCAAGCAUGAAUGUGAUAUCCAAGAUUUCACUGUGUGACUUGCUUCAGAAAUAAGCGAUGACAUAUUUAGUAUUAAACCCUUUACAAGCUAGAAAAAUGGCGAUAUCGCAUUCUUUAGAAUUUAAAUACCUUUGUAAAGAGCAUGCAGAGUCCCUUUAAAUCUGUUUUUAUUGCAAUAUUAAAUUACUUUUGCUUUCAAUAAUUUAAAAUUGUUUUCAUUGCACAACUUCUCUGAACUGCACAAAUUUACUAAACUGCACAACUUCUCUGAACUGCACAACUUAACUAAACUGCACAACUUCUCUGAACUGCACAACUUAACUAAACUGCACAACUUCUCUGAACUGCACAACUUAACUAAACUGCACAACUUCUCUAAACUGCACAAAUUUACUAAACUGCACAACUUCUCUGAAUUGCACACAUUUACUAAACUGCACAACUUCUCUGAACUGCACACAUUUACUAAACUGCACAACUUAACUAAACUGCACAACUUAUCUAAACUGCACAACUUCUCUAAACUGCACAAAUCUACUAAACUGCACAAAUUUACUAAACUGCACAAAUUUACUAAACUGCACAAAUUUACUAAACUUCACAAAUUUACUAAACACCAUUUUUCCUUUAUAGAGAUUAUUCAAUUAGAUUAUGUGGCGAGUAAUCAGUUCCUUUACAUCAAAUAAAUUUAUGUAGAAUUGUUAUUGUUUUCUUAACGCUAGAAUUCCGCAAUGAUUCUUUUCUAAAAAUUGUGAAAAUUGAAUUGUAUAAAAAUAAUCUAAGCCUAUUAAUUAUGCAUAACCCAGUACAGCACAAUUUUACUGAUUAAAUUUUGAACUAUGCUUGCAAUAAGGUAUUUACAUUUUGGCUUUAAAAACAUGUUAUUAUAGAAGGUUUACCCACAAAGGAUGAGACUUCAGAGACAACUGUUGUACGGAAUUGCUACAGUCUGUUUUCUUAUAUUUAAGAUUCCUUGCAACUGUAAACUUAUUUUUUUCUUUUCCAAAUCAUUGAAAAAGCCAUUUAAAGGCAAAAAGCAAGGUAGAAGAAUUAAUUAUAAUAUUUGAAGAAGUUUAAGUCGUCUUUACAGUCUUCUUCUUUGUGGAUACCAUGGUAUGCAUUUAUUUGAUACAAUACAGGGUUACCCACAAAGAAGGAGAUUUUAAGAACGACACGAAACUCUGUAAGGUCUGACCUUGUGAAGUUAAAAAUUUAGUGAAACAUAGAGAUGAGAAAAGAGAUUAAAUAAAUUCCGUACAAUCGUCUCUGAAGUCUCAUCCUUUGUGGGUAACCCUGCAUGUGGAUAAAUUAUAAAAUAAUAUUUCCAAAAUUAAAACUUUAAUUUGAAGUAUGUCUCACAUUUUCCUUGCUUACACUAUUAAUAAUAAUUUUGCAUUGUUUUAAUAAGCUUUAGCUUUGAUUUGUUAUCUUUGAUUUCGAAAUAAAUAUUUAAAAUAAAAA